GAAUUAGGCCGAUUAGUGGUAAAACCUUUUAUAAUAAUUUAUUAUUGUCUAUUUUACACAAAUGUUAUGCUAAUAUUUCUAUAAAUUAUUCGAAGGGAUAUGGCGGAGGGCUAAGACAGACUGGCCUUUUAUCCAGUGCCUACUCACGCCAAUAGAUCCCCAAGCAAAAUGUGUUUUGGUUUUGACCAUAAGUCACAUUUUUAGCCAAACCAUAUCAUACUUAGUACAGCACAAUAAUAAUCAGAUUUUAAAUUUCACAUUCCGUAAUCGAGACUAUCGAGACCACGUCUGAAAUUGUGUAUUAUUAUUAUCUCCCGUCUGAAAAUAUGAAAAACCAUAAUUUAUCAUCUUGACGGAAUAACUUUUUUAAAAGAAUCGAAUGCUGUGACUCGCCGGAUUGAUUACACAGACGUGUUUUAUUUCCAACGGUACAUAGAGCUAAAUGAGUAAAACAAGGGUCAAAAUGUAAAUUAUUAAGGUCUCGUAUCAUUAAAAAAUAUAUUAUACGUUAAAUAUACAAUUUUAUUAUUUAUUCAACACAAAGCUAAUUAAUAUAAUAUUAAUAGACGAUGAUACAUAUAAUAAAGAAAAUACAGUUAUCGAUCGCGAUAAUGUAUAAUAUUGUGUUUUUAAGUACAUUAUUGUAUUGUAUGAACUUAUGAACUAUGUCUGCUUGUUCGCAUUUUACGAGUAUAUGUGUAUAGUGUACCUACAUUCAACUUUCUUACGAUUACAUUAUUAUUUUACCUUAACAUCAUUUCAAUUUUUAUAACAUUGUUAAAAAGAGGCUAUAGCCGCAUUUACCGUAUUGGUCCAAUUAUAACGGGCAACGUACCAAAAUUACAUUUCUGAGAACAUGAAUUAAGAUGGCGCUUAAGUUUAAACGCAAAUAACAACAUUUAAAAAGUAGAAUUAUACUUUUGGGGGUAGUACGUUGCUAUUUUACUAAAACAUUGGGGGAAAAAAACAUGCUUUCGAAAAUAUUCUCCACUUUAAACUCUAUUUUCAGCUUUUACGCCACAAUUAUUCGUGUUCUAAAUAACAGAGUAAUAAUAGUAGUUACCAUGUUGUCCGUUAGUUAAACUGAAGCAGUAAUUUGUGCAUGUUUGGCGUCUUCUGAAUAUAAUACAAUUUUUAUUAUUUAUUAUUUAUAAUGUAUAUUUUAACGGAACGAGUGGUUUGGGAGUCCAAAACGAUUUUCCGAAAAAAAAGCCCAAAGUAAAUACCUAUCUAUAUGAGAAUUCGAUAGAACGGCUGAUCCAUAUAAAUCAACGUUCGCCCAAUAGUAAGUAUUGUGUUUAACUUUACAAAUAUGUCUAAUUUAAAAUUGAGUUCUUGUUUUGGAAAAGUGAGAAUGGUAAAAAUGAACGAGAAGAAAUAAAAUACAUAUAAAGAUCAAUUAGAGAUUGUA